UAACCAGAGAGACUUCUAGCCA
rnacentral:misc_RNA from 1 species